UACGGGGGGUGUGAGCGUUAAUCGGAAUUACUGGGCGUAAAGUGCGCGUAGGUGGCUUGAUAAUCCGGUUGUGAAAGCCCCGGGCUCAACCUGGGAACGGCAUCCGGAACUGGCAAACUAGAGUACAGGAGAGGAAGCUAGAAUUCCCGGUGUAGCGGUGAAAUGCGUAGAGAUCGGGAGGAAUACCAGUGGCGAAGGCGGCCUUCUGGACUGACACUGACGCUGAGGUGCGAAAGCGUGGGUAGCAAACAGG
rnacentral:misc_RNA from 1 species